rnacentral:rRNA from 1 species
AGUGAACGCUGGCGGUAGGCCUAACACAUGCAAGUCGAACGGCAGCACAGUAAGAGCUUGCUCUUACGGGUGGCGAGUGGCGGACGGGUGAGGAAUACAUCGGAAUCUACUUUUUCGUGGGGGAUAACGUAGGGAAACUUACGCUAAUACCGCAUACGACCUACGGGUGAAAGCAGGGGAGCUUCGGACCUUGCGCGAUUGAAUGAGCCGAUGUCGGAUUAGCUAGUUGGCGGGGUAAAGGCCCACCAAGGCGACGAUCCGUAGCUGGUCUGAGAGGAUGAUCAGCCACACUGGAACUGAGACACGGUCCAGACUCCUACGGGAGGCAGCAGUGGGGAAUAUUGGCCAAUGGGCGCAAGCCUGAUCCAGCCAUACCGCGUGGGUGAAGAAGGCCUUCGGGUUGUAAAGCCCUUUUGUUGGGAAAGAAAAGCAGCAGGUUAAUACCCCGCUGUUCUGACGGUACCCAAAGAAUAAGCACCGGCUAACUUCGUG